AACUGCAAGUAAUUUUCACUUGCAUCAGCUAGAUCCCUUCUGAUCUUGAAAGCUAAGCAGAGCCAGAUUGAUUAGUACUUAAAUGGGAGACUGCAAACAAAUACCAGGUGUUAUAGGUA
rnacentral:rRNA from 11 species